GGAAAUGAUUGCCAAUGUUCCAACCUUUCAUCCUUGAAAACUAAGUGGUAUGACCCACCAUCAUUAACACUAUAUUGCCUUGAAAGUUUUACAACAGCUCUGGCACCUAGGCUUGUAUGUUCUCCAAACUCAGCCGUUGCUUGACCAGCAGAGGUAGCAACCUUAAAUUUCAUGUUCCAAUACUGCUUGCCAACAAAAAAUUACCAUUACCAUCUCCAGGAAAUGCUUGCCCAUGUUCCAACCUUUCAUCCUUGAAACCUAAGUGGCAUGAACCACCAUCAUCAACACAAUAUUGCAUUGAAAGUUCUACAAUAGCUCUGGCAGCUAGGCUUGCAUGUUCUUCAAACUCAGUCGCUCCUUUAGCAGCAGAGGUAGCAUCCUUAAAUUUAAUGUUCCAAUUCUGCCUGCAUAUAGAAAACUUACCAUUACCAUCUCCAGGAAAUGCUUGCCAAUGUUCCAACCUUUCAUCACUGAAACCUAAGUGGCAUGAACCACCAUCAUCAACA
rnacentral:lncRNA from 1 species